GACGAACGCUGGCGGCGUGCCUAAUACAUGCAAGUCGAACGCAGUGGGGACGGGUGAGUAACACGUGGGUAACCUCCCAUCAGAGGGGAUAACACUUGGAAACAGGUGCUAAACCGAUACUGAUGGAUGGACCCGCGGUGCAUUAGCUAGUUGGUGGGGUAACGGCUCACCAAGGCGACGAUGCAUAGCUGGCCUGAGAGGAUGAUCGGCCACACUGGGACGGAGACACGGCCCAGACUCCUACGGGAGGCAGCAGUGGGGAAUCUUCUGCAAUGGACGAAAGUCUGACCGAGCAACGCCGCGUGAAUGAAGAAGGUUUUCGGAUCGUAAAACUCUGUUGUUAGGGAGGCGGUAUCUAACCAGAAAGCAACGGCUAACUACGUGCCAGCCGCCGCGGUAAUUC
rnacentral:rRNA from 1 species